AACGAACGCUGGCGGCAUGCCUAACACAUGCAAGUCGAACGAGACCUUCGGGUCUAGUGGCGCACGGGUGCGUAACGCGUGGGAACCUGCCCUUAGGUUCGGAAUAACUCCCCGAAAGGGGUGCUAAUACCGGAUAUUGUCUUCGGACCAAAGAUUUAUCGCCUUUGGAUGGGCCCGCGUUGGAUUAGCUGGUUGGUAGGGUAAAAGCCUACCAAGGCGACGAUCCAUAGAUGGUCUGAGAGGAUGAUCAGCCACACUGGGACUGAGACACGGCCCAGACUCCUACGGGAGGCAGCAGUGGGGAAUAUUGGACAAUGGGCGAAAGCCUGAUCCAGCAAUGCCGCGUGAGUGAUGAAGGCCUUAGGGUUGUAAAGCUCUUUUACCCGGGAUGAUAAUGACAUUACCGGGAGAAUAAGCUCCGGCUAACUCCGUG
rnacentral:rRNA from 1 species